rnacentral:tRNA from 1 species
GGGGUUGUGGCUCAGUGGUAGAACGCUCGCCUAGCGCGUGAGGCAUUGGGUUUGAUUCUCAGCACCA